UUUUUCUUUUAUGCCAAAAAAUCAUUAGGAUAUUAAGUAAAGAUCAUGUUCCAUGAAGAUAUUUUGUAAAUUUCUUACCGUGAAUGUAUCAAAACUUAAUUUUUGAUUAGUAAUAUGCAUUGCUAAGAACUUCAUUUGGACAACUUUAAAGGCGUUUUUCUCAAUAUUUUGAUUUUUUUUGCACCCUCAGAUUCCAGGGGCCUCAUUUAUAAAAUGUUGGGCAGAAACCAUCCUAAAUUUGAUCUUACGAUCAUUUCUCAAAUAUGCUUAAGUUUGAUUCAUAGAAUGAACGUACGAACAGAAAACGUGAGUAUGCGUCUAUUUCAGAUGUGAAAUCCAUAAAUCGCAAAUGAUCUUCAACUUGCGCGCAAUUGAAUGGUUUCAGCUCUCUGCCUUGUAAACGACUUCUAACUAAUAUCAUUAACAUAUAAAAUAUUACCAAUCAUCAUAAUUUAGAACAGCGAGCUGCAAGAACAGCUUACAUUUAAAAAACCUGCAAUACUCCGACAAUAAAAAGUGCGUACGUCUGCUCAGACCCUGACGUGACGCUAAGCACUUUUCCACGUCAAAGACCGUCUUUAUAAAUAUGAGCGCUGGCGUGGAUUUAAGCGUACGCACACUCUACGAUCAAAUCUGAGCGUAAGCACGCUUUAUAAAUGAGGCCCCAGAUUUUCAAAUAGUUGUAUCUCGACCAAAUAUUGUCAGAUCCUAACAAUUAUUUAUUCAGCUUUCAGAUGAUGUAUAAAUCUCAAUUAUAAAUCUAAAUCUGGUUUUGUCGUCCAGGGUCACAUUUACACAAUUUAUAUAGGCUACUCAACUAAUAGCCAACUUUAUUGGGCAAUUACAGAUCUUAUGCCCCAUGAAGUGCACAGCCAUCUUUAGAAUUUUGUAUUUGAAUUUCCGAUUUUGUGUUGCUCUAUAGCGUCACUGUUAAAGCUGGUGAAGUGGAUUUACUUAUUGUAGAGUUAACAAAAGUAACAAUGUGCAUUUUAAUGUUGGAAGCUGAUGUCUUAACAAAUGUCAGUAGACCAGGAAGAUUUUAAAACGAGCAGUUCAGAAAUUCGUACGACCGUAGCUGUGGAAAACAAGACCGAAAUCAGUAACGAUCAACUCAUCCGCAGACUACUCAUCAGUUCAUGCUGCCCAGCAGGUAUCAGCGAGGCCCGGGCGCCCAUAUUCCCCCAUGACAAAACAGCCGUGCCCGCUGCUGAUUCAGCUGCUCAGCGAGAGCAGACACAGAUCAUCCCUGACAGCACAAGCACACCUCACCUUACUGAACACGCUUCUUUCCAUGGCGACUCCAAUGGACCGUCCCAUGAUGCACGUUGCCCUUCGGAUAUGGCAGGCGCUGGCGUACACAAUCCCGUCGUUCCCGCACAGGUACUGAUCCGGUGAGGUCACCUCAGGGCAAAGCCGGUUGCAGGUCACG